AAUCAACGCUGGCGGCGUGCCUAACACAUGCAAGUCGAGCGCGAAAGCGGGGCAACUCGCAAGUAGAGCGGCGAACGGGUGAGUAACACGUGGGUGAUCUGCCUCCGAGUGGGGAACAACAGCGGGAAAACUGCUGCUAAUACCGCAUGACAUCUUCGGGUCACAGCGAAGAUCAAAGCCGGGGACCGCAAGGCCUGGCGCUUGGAGAGGAGCCCGCGCCGAUUAGCUAGUUGGCGGGUAACGGCCCACCAAGGCGACGAUCGGUAGCCGGCCUGAGAGGGCGGACGGCCACACUGGGACUGAGACACGG
rnacentral:rRNA from 1 species